CAGCCGCCGCGGGAAUACGUAGGUCCCGAGCGUUGUCCGGAUUUAUUGGGCGUAAAGCGAGCGCAGGCGGUUAGAUAAGUCUGAAGUUAAAGGCUGUGGCUUAACCAUAGUAUGCUUUGGAAACUGUUUAACUUGAGUGCAGAAGGAGAGAGUGGAAUUCCAUGUGUAGCGGUGAAAUGCGUAGAUAUAUGGAGGAACACCGGUGGCGAAAGCGGCUCUCUGGCUUGUAACUGACGCUGAGGCUCGAAAGCGUGGGGAGCAAACAGGAUUAGAUACCCGGGUAGUCCCUGUCUCUUAUACA
rnacentral:rRNA from 1 species